ACUACGGGAGGCUGCAGUGAGGAAUAUUUGUCAAUGUGCGCUAGCCUGAACCCUCCCCUUCUCUUUCCUGAUGCCUGCCCAACGGGUCGUAAACUUCUUUUAUCAAGGAAUAAAGUGAGGCACUAGUGCCUUUUUGUAUGUACCUGAUGAAUAAGGAUCGGCUAACUCCGUGCCAGCAGCCGCGGUAAUACGGAGGAUUCGAGCGUUAUCUGGAUUUAUUGGGUUUAACGGGAGCGUAGAUGGGUUGUUAAGUCAGUUGUGAAAGUUUGCGGCUCAACCGUAGAAUUGCAAUUGAUACUGGCAGCCUUGAGUUCAGUUGAGGUAGGCGGAAUUCGUGGUGUAGCGGUGAAAUGCUUAGAUAUCACGAAGAACUCCGAUUGCGAAGGCAGCUUACUAAACUGACACUGACAUUGAUGCUCGAAAGUGUGGGUAUCAAACAGGAUUAGAUACCCGUGUAGUC
rnacentral:rRNA from 1 species